rnacentral:misc_RNA from 1 species
GAUGAAGAACGCAGCGAAAUGCGAUAAGUAAUGUGAAUUGCAGAAUUCAGUGAAUCAUCGAAUCUUUGAACGCACAUUGCGCCCGCUGGUAUUCCGGCGGGCAUGCCUGUUCGAGCGUCAUUUCAACCCUCAAGCCCCCGGGUUUGGUGUUGGGGAUCGGCUCUGCCCUUCUGGGCGGUGCCGCCCCCGAAAUACAUUGGCGGUCUCGCUGCAGCCUCCAUUGCGUAGUAGCUAACACCUCGCAACUGGAACGCGGCGCGGCCAUGCCGUGAAACCCCAACUUCUGAAUGUUGACCUCGGAUCAGGUAGGAAUACCCGCUGAACUUAAGCAUAUCAAUAAGCGGAGGA